ensembl:lncRNA
UAGAAGCCGGCAGGAGUCCCCAAUGGCUGGCAGGCAGUCGGCCACUUGAUGCAGGUGGUCGUGAAGCACACCUUUAAUCCCAGCACUCUGGAGACAGAGGCAGAUCGAUAUUUAUGAGUUCCAUACCAACCUGGUCGACAGAGCAAGUUAAAGGACAACCAGGGCUACACAGAGAAACCUUGUUUCAAACAAAACAAAACAAAAAAUUUCCCUUUUGUUCCUGGAGAGACAACUCAGUAGGAAAAGGGACUCACCCCCAAACCUGACAACCUGAGUUUGAUCCCCAAAAUCCACGUGGUAGAAGAAAGAACUGACUCCCAGAAGUUACCCUUUUAUAUCCCAAUGCAUGUGCAUGCACUGUAAAUAAACAAAUCGUUUUCAAAAAUUUUAAAGAAUUGCCUUUUAAAGAAUGGCAUUGUAAGGUGUAUCAUGAGGCACACUAUUUAGAAGGGUGAUAUAGCAAAACCAAGCUCACAAACAUUCUGGCCCUAAGUAAGCAUGGCUCGUUUGCUGUAGGUUCAAUUUCCCUUCAUAUAAGAUGGCCUCCAUGAUCUUCCUGUCUGAACUUCUUUUAAGAUUUAUUUGUUUUAUUUGAAUACACUUAUAGCUGUCUUCAGACACACCAGAAGAGGGCAUCAGAUCCCAUUACAGAUGGUUGUGAGCCACCAUGUGGUUGCUGGGAAUUGAACUCAGGACCUCUGGAAGAUCAGUCAGUGCUCUCAACCGCUGAGCCAUCUCUCCAGCCCCUGUCUGAACCUCUUGAAUGACGGGAUUGCAGACUCAAACUACCCAGCUGCACUUUGCUACAGGCUGGCCUCGAAGUCCACCGAGGACGACUGUGAACUCCUGACCGGCCCAGUGCUAUGAUUCCAGGGUUGUUCCACCAUCUUCACAUUAUGUAUUGCUGAGGAUUGAACCAGGGCUCGUGCAAGCAAGGCAACGUGUCAGAAAU